rnacentral:tRNA from 1 species
GCCCUGGUGGUGGAAUUGGUAGACACGCAGGACUUAAAAUCCUGUGAUCAGCAACGGUCGUGCGGGUUCAAUUCCCGCCUGGGGCA